CUUAAUAAUGGUUCGAAAGCUUUGAACAACUUGAAUGUCCAUCAGCAGAAGAAAAGAUAAUCGAAACAUGCUACAUUCAAUUCAUACGGCUGCCAGAGAAACUGUUGUGGGAGAAAAAACAAAGGAAAACCAAGCUACUUUUGAUAUGAAAGAACUCAUGUAUGAUUCCCUGGAUG
rnacentral:lncRNA from 1 species